CCUACGGGAGGCAGCAGUGGGGAAUAUUGGGCAAUGGAGGAAACUCUGACCCAGCAACGCCGCGUGAAUGAUGAAGGUCUUCGGAUUGUAAAGCUCUAUCCUAAGGGAAGAAGAUAGUGAUGGUACCUUAGGAAUAAGCCGCGGCUAACUACGGGCCAGCAGCCGCGGUAAUACGUAGGAGGCCAGCGUUAUCCGGAAUGACUGGGCGUAAAGGGGGCGUAGGUGGUUUGGCAAGUUAGUAGCGUAACUCCAAGGCUCAACCUUGGAACUACUACUAAAACUGUUGGACUUGAGUGCAGGAGGGGCAGCCGGAAUUCCUAGUGUAGCGGUGGAAUGCGUAGAUAUUAGGAGGAACACCAGUGGCGAAGGCGGGUUGCUAGACGGUGACUGACACUGAGGCACGAAAGCGUGGGGAGCAAACAGGAUUAGAUACCCCUGUAGUC
rnacentral:rRNA from 1 species